ACGCACGCUGGCGGCGUGCUUCACCCCUGCCAGUCGCACGGAAAGGCCUUUUCGGAGGUACUCGAGUGGCGACCGGGUGAGUAACACGUGGGUGAUCUGCCCUGCACUCUGGGAUAAGCCUGGGAAACUGGGUCUAAUACCGGAUAGGACCGCACUUUAGUGUGUGUGGUGGAAAGUUUUUUCGGUGUAGGAUGAGCCCGCGGCCUAUCAGCUUGUUGGUGGGGUAAUGGCCUACCAAGGCGGCGACGGGUAGCCGGACUGAGAGGUUGGUCGGCCACAUUGGGACUGAGAUACGGCCCAGACUCCUACGGGAGGCAGCAGUGGGGAAUAUUGCACAAUGGGCGCAAGCCUGAUGCAGCGACGCCGCGUGGGGGAUGACGGCCUUCGGGUUGUAAACUCCUUUCGCCAGGGACGAAGCGUUUUGUGACGGUACCUGGAGAAGAAGCACCGGCUAACUACGUG
rnacentral:rRNA from 1 species